CGCCCAAGGGCCGACCUUUUACAACUACGCGUGCGCACCAGGUGAAGGUGCCACGCCCCCUCCUCUGGUGGCUUGUGUACCUGUCACUGAGAGUAAGUUCCCUUGGUACAAGGCAUGGUUUUAGCAGGCAGUGUUUCUCGGUGUUGCCUUGGCUGACCUGGAAGUUGCUCUGUAGACCAGGUUGGCCUCCAUUUCAUGAGACCCACCUGCCCCAGCUUCUUAAGUGUGGGACAUUAAAGACUUAUACUGCACCACCUGGCAUAUAAUGCAUCUUAACAGUGACCAGAAAAUGGAAAUGAGUAUUGUGCAACCAUGAAGCGUCAAAUGGAUACACUCAUACAGUGUAACAUUCCUGAGGGAAAUGGGGAAAAAACUGAUCACGAAAUACGGAAAACGGCUCUCAAAAAUAUCAUCCUAAAAAUAAAAUUCCCCUAGGUGAAGGAAGCCAGAUGGAAAGUGCUGGCAAACUCCAGCUGCACUUAUGUGAAGUAUCAAGACACAAACAAACCCAGAGAGCCAGGAAGUCAUCAAUAACACCGGGCUCUCCUGCCGGGCCUGGCUGCAGGGUAUGAGGCCUGUGGGAGCUAAGGAAAGGGAAGAAGCCUGACCUGGACUGAGACAGCGUGGCCAAUGAAGUGAGGAGAAAGUCUCUGCACGUUAUACUUGUUAGCAAGCUCUUCCUCUUCCGUGAAAGUAAGACAACACAUGUGUGCUAAGCGCCCACUGCUGACCUAAGCACCAGUUCAGUGGAGAAGAAGCUGGCUGUGCAACCUUGAGGACGGAGCGUGAAUCUUUAGCACUAACAUAAAGGUAGGAGGGGCAGGUGGCUGGCCUGUAAUCCCAGUCCUUAGGAGGUGGAGUCGGGAUUCCUGGAGCAAGCUGGUCAGUUUACACUAGCUGAGUCAGUGAGUUGCAGGGUCUGAGAAAGUGCCUGUCUCAAUAUGCGAUUUGAAGAAUGAUCAAGGAAGACGCAACACCCACCUCUGGUCUCCACACCCACACGCACACAAGUGCAUUCACACCCACACAUACUUGCUCGCCUCCACACCAUACACAAAAAAUGAACACCAAUCAAGGCAAGCAAAGGAGUGGGUAGAAAGUGAGGCAGAGCCGGGCGUUGGUGGCGCAUGCCUUUAAUCCCAGCACUCGGGAGGCAGAGGCAGGUGGAUCUCUGUGAGUUCGAGUCCAGCCUGGUCUACAAAGUGAG